UCCCUACGGGGCGCAGCAGUGGGGGAUAUUGCACAAUGGGGGGAACCCUGAUGCAGCGACGCCGCGUGGGUGAAGGAGCGUUUCGGCGCGUAAAGCCCUAUCGGCAGGGAAGAAGGAGGACGGUACCUGACUAAGAAGCCCCGGCUAACUACGUGCCAGCAGCCGCGGUAAUACGUAGGGGGCGAGCGUUAUCCGGAUUUACUGGGUGUAAAGGGGGCGCAGACGGCAGCGCAAGCCAGGAGUGAAAGCCCGGGGCCCCGCCCCGGGACUGCUCUUGGAACUUCGCGGCUGGCGUGCGGGGGGGG
rnacentral:rRNA from 1 species